rnacentral:rRNA from 1 species
UACGGAGGGGGCGAGCGUUAUUCGGAAUUAUUGGGCGUAAAGGGUGCGUAGGUGGACUUUUAAGUCAGUGGUGAAAGCCUGUAGCUUAACUAUAGAAUUGCCAUUGAAACUGAAAGUCUUGAGUACAGUUGAGGUGAGCGGAAUGUAUCAUGUAGCGGUGAAAUGCUUAGAUAUGAUACAGAACACCGAUUGCGAAGGCAGCUCACUAAACUGCAACUGACACUGAGGCACGAAAGCGUGGGGAUCAAACAGG